GGCAGCGUGGCUUAGUGGAAAGCAAAUGGGCUUGGGAGUCAGAGGUCAUGGGUUCUAAUCCCAGCUCCACCA
rnacentral:tRNA from 1 species